rnacentral:rRNA from 1 species
CGUUCCCGGGCCUUGUACACACCGCCCGUCAAGCCAUGGAAGCUGGGGGUGCCUGAAGUCAGUGACCGCAAGGAGCUGCCUAGGGUAAAACUAGUAACUAGGGCU